AGGAUUAACGCUGGCGGCGUGCCUAAUACAUGCAAGUCGAACGGAGCACUAUAUGAGAGAAUCAUCGCAAUUUAUUGCGGAGUUCUCGUUUGUAGUGCUUAGUGGCGGACGGGUGAGUAACACGUUGGUACCUGCCCCGAAGUGGGGAAUAACUGCCCGAAAGGGUGGCUAAUACCGCAUGUGGUCUACGGACUAAAGCAGUAAUGCGCUUCGGGAGGGGCCUGCGUCUGAUUAGCUUGUUGGUAGUGUAAUGGACUACCAAGGCGACGAUCAGUAGCUGGAUCGAGAGGUUGACCAGCCACACUGGGACUGAGAUACGGCCCAGACUCCUACGGGAGGCAGCAGUAAGGAAUCUUCCACAAUGGACGAAAGUCUGAUGGAGCAACGCCGCGUGCAGGAUGACGGCCUUAGGGUUGUAAACUGUCUUUUAUAUGGGAAGAUUAUGACGGUACCAUAUGAAUAAGGGUCGACUAACUACGCGCCAGCAGGCCGUA
rnacentral:rRNA from 1 species